CAGAGAAUAGUUUAAAUUAAGAUCUUAGCUUUGGGAGCUAAGGAUGGGAGUUAAAAACUCCUUUCUCUGA
rnacentral:tRNA from 1 species